rnacentral:rRNA from 1 species
UACAGAGGGGGCAAGCGUUAUUCGGAAUUAUUGGGCGUAAAGGGCGCGUAGGCGGCUUCGCAAGUGGAAGGUGAAAUCCCUCGGCUUAACCGAGGAACUGCCCUCCAAACUGCGUGGCUUGAGUCCGGGAGAGGUGAGUGGAAUUCCCAGUGUAGCGGUGAAAUGCGUAGAUAUCAUUUGGAACGCCAAUGGCGAAAACAGGUAGCUGGGGCUGUGCUGACGCUGAGACACGAAAGCCAGGGGAGCAAACGGG